CAAAGUGCGCCGGUGUGUCUUCUGGUUUUCCUCUUCGAUUUGUGGCGGUGUGGGGGGGCAUAGGCAUCGGCACUGUACGCGAAACGCCUGUUUCGGAUCCUUUCUGCUUUCUGCACCCCACCCCCUCUUUCACCUCCCAACGCUACGCACUACUUGGCCUUUCCCUUCUUUUUGCGCAUUGGCGUACGCCACACACACACACACACACCUAGCUCGUGUCGCUCACCCACCUGCGCGGCGGAGCCCGUCUGAGGGAAGGGGGCAAGGAGACGGAAUCGAAAGCCGAAGGGCCUCAAGGAAAACGUACAGGCGCCGAAGUAGACUGCCGUGUGUGCGGAUGCGCGCGCACUUGUUGCCUGUUGAACCUUUUCCCCGCCUUGGCCGACAGAUCAUACUCACUCUGUGGAGGAGGGCUCAUGAGUGACACACUACUGGACACAGGCCACACUGCGGCCGUGACCGACAUUGCAGCGGAUGCGAAUGGACGGCAUCUGGCGACGGCGAGUAGUGAUGGCACAGUGCACGUUUAUGAGUCUGUCACUUCCUCCUCCAAGGAAGCGUCGCAGUACAAGGGUGGGCCACAGCCCACGACGUGGAGCCCCGUCGCGGUGCUCCAGUGUAGCAGCGAGGAACAAGCGGCGACGGUGACGUGCGUGGCAUGGGCCCCUCCCGCCUUAUACACGGCCGCCCUCGUUACGUGCACUGAGUUGGCCAAUGAGGUGGCUCUCUGGUGUGACGUGGGCAACGACGCACAGUAUCGCAAAAUCUACGUCUACACCUUGGCCGCACCGGGCUGGUGUGUUGCAUGGGCCCCGCACGAGUACGGGAAGCUGUUUGCCGUCGGCUGCGCGGAUGGGGCGGUGGUCGUCUUCACCGGCGGCCCAGACGGCACGUGGGACAUCCACUCCUUCGAGAGCCAUCCGCACGGUUGCUGCGGCCUCUCGUUCGCUCCGUUUUUUCCGCCGGGAGCACUGCUCAUGGCGCCUCUGGAGAAGGACGUUGGCAAUGUUCCGGGCAAUGCGCCGCCGAUACCGCUCGCACCACCCCGUAUGAUCACAUGCGGUGGUGGCCGGUUCGUGAAGCUCUGGACGCACUCGUUUGCGCCUCUGCCCGGCGAAGAAGGCAGCGGCGCGCCGCUGGGGUCUGUGUGGACGUCCAUAGAGCUGGAGGCGGCCGAGGCGACGAGCGCCCCAGCGUGGCGGGAGGUGUGCUGGGCUCCGAAUCUGGGUCUGCCGUUCACGUACAUCGCGGCCGGUUCAGAGGACGGACUGGUAGCAGUCUGGGUGCAGGAUGGACCCGCCUCGAACCCAUGGCAGUGCCGCCUUCUGCCCCCGCCCCACGGCACUCCAGGCGAGAAUGUGACGAAACUCUCGUGGUCUUUGGUAGGUACGUUCCUCUUGGUGUCCUACGCUGAUGGCACGGUGGCGAUGUGGAAGGAGACGAGCAAUCAUGGGGCGUGGCGCGUGGUGAGUGAGUUGGAGAAUCCAACCCUGUGAGGGAGUGACGUGUGGGGCACUUUUAUUUGUGGGCUUGUUGCGGCCUCGUGCACGCCUCCCUCGCGUCCUCGCUCUUUUCCCAUGCUGCCCUCUCUAUCGACAUCCGAUUUUUCUGGCCCCGCCUCGCCGGGUCUUCUCCACUUGUUUCCCUGCAUCGCGUUGCCUCACGCUUGACGGAACUCUUGAGGGGAAAAGGAGGGAAGCGAAGUGCAUUGUUUCCCUUGUGCCAGCGUUGUCUCCUUGCCACCGGCUUGUCUGAGUGGGCUGCAAACCACACAAUCCUUCUUCUCCCCCACCCAACACCCACCGCUACAAGGGAAAACCAAGUGGAAGAGGCAGGAGCAGUACGCGGCACAGCAUUUGGAGAGGGAGAGAUGCAACCUGCUUUUCCUGUCGGCUUGUGCGUGAGUGUGCAGGACUCAAGACGACUGUUCUGCGGUGUGUCCGGCACAUGGUUUCCGAGGAUGAAAUGCAGCUGGACUGCAUGGUUGAUGUGCAGGGACGUUGUGUCUGCCGCUUCCCGACCCCUCAUGGGCCUGCGACUCUUUUCUUCUCGAUCUCUGCGUCCAUGGCCAACUUCCCUCCUCCUCGGUCUUUCCUGUGCCCCUAUCUUCCACACCCCCUCAUCUUGGUGCACCGCUUCCAUUUACGUUCCCUGUGCCGUGGCCCUUAUCUUGCCCUGACGAAUUCACUGACACACGUACACAUGCGAACACACACACACAUACACACGGUAACUAAAACGUCACAG
rnacentral:misc_RNA from 1 species